rnacentral:rRNA from 1 species
UACAGAGGUCUCAAGCGUUGUUCGGAAUUACUGGGCGUAAAGGGCUUGUAGGCGGCCAACUAAGUCAGACGUGAAAUCCCUCAGCUUAACUGGGGAACUGCGUCUGAUACUGGAUGGCUUGGAUUCGGGAGAGGAAUGCGGAAUUCCAGGUGUAGCAGUGAAAUGCGUAGAUAUCUGGAGGAACACCGGUGGCGAAGGCGGCAUUCUGGACCGACAUUGACGCUGAGGAGCGAAAGCCAGGGGAGCAAACGGG